GUCCCCAAAAGCAAAUUUUGUUAGAUUCAGCUUACUUCCGUGUACCAAGCUGACACAUUUGUCCCCAAAAUAUGGUUAAGUAAAGGAACACACACUUUUAAGGCUUUUUUAUUUUAUUUUACAGAAUUCACAAAAUUAGUUGUCUUAUGUGCCCCAACUUGACAGGGAAAUUACACAAUUGUUGCUCAACCAAGGAUAAUGUCAAAGACAUGAUAAAUACAGAUAUUUACAAAAUAAAAUAUUUUAGGAAAUAUGCUUUAUUUAAUUUUCUAAAUGAUGUUUUAUUUAUUGUUCUAUGUUAUUGUUUAAAUUAUCCAUCGAGUUGGACACCCCUGAUGUAGGCUAAAUGCUUUUAUUAAGAUAUCAUUUAGUUUGCAUGAACUCCUUUCUUACAGUCGACCAUACUGGUUCUUGGAAAACUGAUGGAAAAGAAGGUAGGAGCUGAGUUUUCUGCUUUAUGAGCUUAGUAUUUGGUGACUGAGAUGUAUUUCCUUUUCCUAACAGGUUCGGGAGACACUUAAAAGAAGACUGAGAACCACUAAACGCACUGGAUGUCAUGCUACACAUACUUCAAGCUCUGGAGCCCAUUUUUACGGAAGAAGCAGUUCUUCCAAAAGAAUGACUAUUACAAAUGUUUUCAACACCCUUGUGGGAAGAGGGAGGUAUGCUUGGUCAAAUUCCUCACACAGCUCUGGAGCAUCGCUAACUUUUCUAAAUGCAUCGCAGGACAGACAGGCGCUUUCAUUUCCUGUCAGUAUGUCUUUGUAAUGCUGGGUCCACUUCCACACGCACAACUUCAUACUGAAAAAAUUCUGUUUGAUUUCUGUUUUCCCAAAUGCUUGACUAUAACUUGAAUAUUCAGUACUUUUUUUUAUUAAUGAUCCAGAGUGACAAAUUUACAAUAAAACACUGGUUUGUACCAAAUUAUGAAAACAAAAAUCACAUUCUGGUUUCUUUCUGAACACUGUUUAGUGUACCAACUACUUUUGCCUUUCUCUAUUAAAUCCAUAAAUGAAAAA